rnacentral:rRNA from 1 species
AUUGAACGCUGGCGGCAUGCCUUACACAUGCAAGUCGAACGGUAACGGGCCUUCGGGUGCCGACGAGUGGCGAACGGGUGAGUAAUGCAUCGGAACGUACCUUUCAGUGGGGGAUAACGUCGCGAAAGUUACGCUAAUACCGCAUAUUCUGUGAGCAGGAAAGCAGGGGAUCGCAAGACCUUGCGCUGAUUGAGCGGCCUAUGUCAGAUUAGCUAGUUGGUGAGGUAAAGGCUCACCAAGGCGACGAUCUGUAGCGGGUCUGAGAGGAUGAUCCGCCACACUGGAACUGAGACACGGUCCAGACUCCUACGGGAGGCAGCAGUGGGGAAUUUUGGAUAAUGGGGGCAACCCUGAUCCAGCCAUGCCGCGUGAGUGAAGAAGGCCUUCGGGUUGUAAAGCUCUUUCGGUCGGGAAGAAAUCGCAUGGGUUAAUACCCUGUGCGGAUGACGGUACCGGCAUAAGAAGCACCGGCUAACUACGUGCCAGCCGCCGCCGUAAUAC